UUUUCUUAUGUAAUUUCUCAACAGGACACUGGGAGGAUUUGGUUUAAAAUUAUAUAUUAGUAAAUCCUUCAGUUGCAGCCAGAAGCUGCUUCUCCGACUCUCUUCUUAUCUGUGCCCUAUCAAUUACAAUGUCCAUUGGCAAGCCAUGGUGACUCAGGUUAGUACAAUUACACAUUGAAAAAGUGGCCGGCAAGGUGGGGCAGCGGUUGAGGAUGGUGGCCACCAAGCUUGAUGACCUGAGUUCAAUCUUUGUACCCCACAGAAGGCGGAGAGAACUGGCACUCUUCUCGGAUGACCGUUCACGGACAGUACAAUACCACAUAUAUAGUGUACACACACAUACAAAUGUGUCGAUGCCCAUUCACAAACAGUACAGUACACGCACACACAGACACAUACAAAUGCAUGAAAAAAUAAAGUAAAAGUUUUUGAAGUUAAUAGUGAUGGCUAAGAUUUUGGUAGCUUUGAGUUGCUAUCUGAAAUAUUUCUAAAAGUAAAUUAAACGAUGUAGAAUCCUUCAGAACCAAAGCUGGAGCUUAAUUUUUAUGUGUUAAUAUUUAAUACUUCACAAUCAUUCCAAUAAAAAUAAAACUGACAUUUUUGGUGUGAAUUAUUUAUAAGUAAGAUUAUUACAUUUGAGAUUUGAAAUACAGAGCUGAAAAUACUAGACAUGAGAUAAAUUUCUUGAAAUUGCUUGAAAGACUAUCUUGCCUGAGGUGACAUUUCAUAGAACAUAACUGUAUUUUGUUAUCAGUUUUCCUUUGACUCCUGUUUACCCGGUCUUAAUGAAGUAAUUCUUUUUUCUUAAAACCUAUUAAAAGAGUAAAAUAUAACUGACUUCAGAUCUUAUAAUUUGCACUUAGGAAAUGGUGGUGAAGUGUAAAAGGAUGUGGGAGGUUGACAUCCAAACACCGUCUAAGUAACAUUAGGACAAUUGGAACUUGGCCCUAAUGGGCCUUGUGGUUUUUAGCCUACUAUGGAAUAAUUUUGGCUAUUAUGUUGGCAGGUGUGCCGACUUUUCCAUUCUGCCUUUUAAAGUGCUUAAAUCAACUGGUUGUUAACACAUUGCGUCUUAUUUUAGAAGAUAGUUUCAUUCAUAUGUUUUUAAAAUAGGAGUACCUUUUACAUUUUCAAAUACAUUUUUGUCUUCUUUGAUAAGUAAUAAGAGCUAAACAUUUAGCCAUUGGUUUAUAAUCAAAUGGUAAACCGUGAUGCCUGAGACACUAAAAUGCCAUAGCUGCUUGGCUCAAAGUGUGUCUUAGAGUGGGCAGCCUUAUUCCUCUGACUUUGUGAAACUAGAUUUUAAAUGAAACAUUUAUCUUUAACUUUCUAAAGAAAAUUAGUACAUAUCUUAGAAAGCUGAAUAAAAAAAAUCACUAUUUCUUCAAAGUUGUAAUUUUAGAUUAAAAUAAAUGUAUUUGUGAUAUACUUACUUGGCUCAAAAAUUUAACUUCUAUAUCAAAGACCUAUUUACAUUACAGUCUUCAUUCACAGUUUCUGGUUGCAACUACUUUGUGUGGUUUUUAGCUUGCUUAGAGAACAGGUUUCACAGAAGAGCUCUGACGCUUAUCUUUAAAUUCGAUAAAAGCAACAGCAAUGGGAUUACUGUAGGAACACAAAUAGAAUUUCCAUGUUUUAAGCUGUUCUUGUUCCUUUUUACAUGUGUUAACACAGACUCCAAGCUGAAGAUACAGUGUGGUUGGGGUUCAACCCUCAAAGCAGUGCAUAGACAACGUAGCAAUAUUAUGAGGAGCUUCAUAGUUAAGUCUUAACUAUUCUAGAAGGAAGUUGUUGCCUUCUGUUUAAUUACAUUCAUGAAAUGUGUUUAAGUGAAAUAUUUUCAGGAUAUUUUGUAUGCUGUAAAACAAAAAAGGAAUUGUAUUGUGCCAAUGGCCAAAGGUAAUAUUACUACCAUGUAGAUGAUGACAGUUCAAAUUGUCCCACGUCACCCAGAAGUUUAGAAACUAGAAGUCUGGGAGACACCACAUCAGUUGUAUUGGGUGAUUCUUAAGUGCUGUACACGCUAUUCAUCUUGUCAAUGUCCAGCACAAGAAGGAGCGAUGCCAGGCAAGCUGCAAAGAUGCAGAAUUUCAUGACGCAGGCUGGUGUCAGACAUAAGUAUCAGCCAGUCAUGUCCGUGUGUUUUAUCUUAGAGUUUCACUUAGAGCUUCACCCUUAAGAGUUGGAAAAUGAUUUGGGAUGUGAUAGUAUUCCUAAGCUCUGACAGUCGAUUCGGAUGGUGGAAUAGAGAAUGUAAGGUCCGUUCUGUAUGCUUGCUCUUUAGCGACCUCCAUUAUGUUACAUCUGUUAAAUUCAUUAUUUGUACAGUUCUGAAUUAUUAUGAUUGCUGUUCAUGUAGGGAAACAUGGUUAUGAUAGGAACAAGAAUAGAAAUGUCCCCAAUGCUAUUUUUUAAAUUCACUUGUAACUGUUACUCUUAUACUUGUGUAUGACAAAAUAAAAUUUGUAAAAAACACUUUAGCAUGAAAAAUAAAAUUUGUAUC
rnacentral:lncRNA from 1 species